rnacentral:misc_RNA from 1 species
AAAAACAUCUAAACUAGCAUUAUGGUAAGCCUAGUUUACUAACUAAACAUCCUGAAACAUGAAUCCAUCAUGUCUACUUCCUCUAUACAAUGCCUCCGGCCACCGUCCACCGUCCACCACCAGCUUCAACAUCGAUCCUUCUUCAUCGUUAUACCAUGAAAUGACUAUUACUUCCAAUUCUUCUCUAUCACUAAUGGUUGUUCUACCAUGAAACAGCUACUUCUUUCAAUCCAGCUUUCAAUUCUUCCCAUUGACGAUCCUCGAAUUCUGAUCCUCCAUUAACAACUUUGAACUCCACCAACAACAACUCCUGUGCCAACUCCAAGAUUUCAACUAACAAAACACUUCUCCCUUUCACCAACCCAAUUCCACCAUUCUUUCUUUUCUCUACUCUGUAUCCUGCAUUUAUACCAACAUUCAUCACCUUCUCUUCUAUCACCUUAACUUCUACAUUUGUCGUAAAUCUCAUCUCCUUCUUGUUCAAUUCUUCUUCAAAUAUCGACGAUAAAUCCAACCCUGAACACAUUGAAAUUAAAUCAAAUGCAUUUAUACUCUCCAUUUGUUUGCUUUCCUUCUCCAAAAUUCCCUCACCAAAUUGCUUCGUGCUUUGUUCUGGUUUCAUCGAUGAUGAUUUCUUAAACCAUGAAGUGUUCAUGAGCUCUUCAAUUCCGUAUCUCGUUUUCGGAUUAGGAUCAAGUAGCCGGUUAAUUAUCCUCCGGGCUGAUUUUGAAACCCAAUCGGGAAACGUAUAUUCACGUCGGUGUAUAGAUUUAACCAUGCUCGGCAAAUUGCUAUCAUCGAACGGUAAGCUUCCGGCGAGGAACACAAAGAGAAUAACCCCACAUGACCAAGCAUCCGCCUUAGCACCAUCGUACCCUCUUCUGUAAACCACCUCCGGAGCAGUAUACGCCGGUGUACCACAAGCUGUAUGAAGAAGACCGUUCUCAAACUGCUCCGGCAAGGCGGAGAGUCCGAAAUCGGAGAUUUUGAGAUGACCCUCUUUGUCUAGGAGUAGAUUUUGUGGCUUGAUAUCACGAUGAGCAACGCCGUUUUGGUGGCAGAAAUGUAAAGCAGAGACAAGCUGAUGGAAAUAAAAUCUGGCGGUGGAUUCAGAAAACCGGCCACGGCGAUUAAGCUUUGUGAAAAGCUCACCGCCGUGAGCUAGUUCCAUAACGAAAUAGAUCUUAGUUUUCGUCGCCAUAACUUCAAAAAGUUCGAGGAUAUUCGGGUGGUGAUUAAGGCGGCGCAUGGCGGAGACUUCACGGAUAAUCCGUGGCUCCAUAGAAGCAUCAAUGGCAGUACUGGAUUUAUCUAUAACUUUAACAGCAACUUCAGUGUUAUCGUCUAAACAACGGCCAAGGUACACUUUAGCAAAGCUACCUCGACCCAAUAGACGAACCAAUUGGUAUUUUCCAAGAAUGAUAGAUCCAGAUCCACUACCAUCGGAACUGGUGGUUCUUCUGAUUUUGACGGUAAAUGGAGGUGGUUGGGGUUGUUUUACAUCCAUUCCGAUGACGACAACCACCGCGGCGGUGACGACGGCGGAUGGAAGAGAGGGGAAGCUGCAG